GAUGAACGCUAGCUACAGGCUUAACACAUGCAAGUCGAGGGGAAACGACAUCGAAAGCUUGCUUUUGAUGGGCGUCGACCGGCGCACGGGUGAGUAACGCGUAUCCAACCUGCCCGUCACUUGGGGAUAACCUUGCGAAAGUAAGACUAAUACCCGAUGAUAUCCCUAGAAGACAUCUGAAAGGGAUUAAAGAUUUAUCGGUGAUGGAUGGGGAUGCGUCUGAUUAGCUUGUUGGCGGGGUAACGGCCCACCAAGGCAACGCUCAGUAGGGGUUCUGAGAGGAAGGUCCCCCACAUUGGAACUGAGACACGGUCCAAACUCCUACGGGAGGCAGCAGUGAGGAAUAUUGGUCAAUGGGCGAGAGCCUGAACCAGCCAAGUAGCGUGCAGGAUGACGGCCCUAUGGGUUGUAAACUGCUUUUAUAAGGGAAUAAAGUGAGUCUCGUGAGACUUUUUGCAUG
rnacentral:rRNA from 1 species